UACGAAGGGGGCUAGCGUUGCUCGGAAUGACUGGGCGUAAAGGGCGCGUAGGCGGAUGGCACAGUCAGAUGUGAAAUUCCCGGGCUUAACCUGGGGGCUGCAUUUGAUACGUGUGAUCUAGAGUGAGGAAGAGGGUCGUGGAAUUCCCAGUGUAGAGGUGAAAUUCGUAGAUAUUGGGAAGAACACCGGUGGCGAAGGCGGCGACCUGGUCCGUUGACUGACGCUGAGGCGCGAAGCGUGGGGAGCAAACAGG
rnacentral:rRNA from 1 species